GUGCUUCUAAUUUUUCCUUUUAGGGCAAUUUACUCCUACUACUACUUGCAGCCUCUCUUUGUGGUUAGCGUGAAAUUCUCCUCUGUGGUACCAUAGCUACUGUAGAUAAAGUAAGCGUGACGGUGGACACAGCAAGAGUCAUACGUUGCAUGCAGCCAGACAAGCACCAGAAACCUAAGCAGAGCAAAUUUGGCUCAUGGAAGAGUUCUUUGAGUAGAAGAAAAGCUACAAAAGAAAUGCGAAGACCCUGAUGCCAACAGCAAGUACAGUGACCAUGAGAGGUGGGAAUGAGUGGGAGAUUAAGCUGAAUACCUAUGAAAAGAGGGCAACCCUUGCUGUUGUUCGAUACAGUUUGAUGGGAUGAAAGGGGACGACGUGAACAGAAAACCUUCUACUACUGAAAACGGAGACACUGAAAUGUUCUGUUUUUAUUUCUUCUGGACUUUCAAUCAUAUGUCAUUCAGCCUGUGUACAGUGAGCCUUUAGUUUAUAUAAUGUGACAAAAGUUUUCAUUAAAAUAACAAGCAAGCCCUAA